UACGUAGGGUGCAAGCGUUAAUCGGAAUUACUGGGCGUAAAGCGUGCGCAGGCGGUUUUGUAAGUCUGUCGUGAAAUCCCCGGGCUCAACCUGGGAAUUGCGAUGGAGACUGCAAGGCUAGAAUCUGGCAGAGGGGGUAGAAUUCCACGUGUAGCAGUGAAAUGCGUAGAGAUGUGGAGGAACACCGAUGGCGAAGGCAGCCCCUGGGUCAAGAUUGACGCUCAUGCACGAAAGCGUGGGGAGCAAACAGG
rnacentral:rRNA from 1 species